rnacentral:rRNA from 1 species
CCUACGGGCGGCUGCAGUGGGGAAUAUUGCACAAUGGGCGCAAGCCUGAUGCAGCCAUGCCGCGUGUGUGAAGAAGGCCUUCGGGUUGUAAAGCACUUUCAGCGGGGAGGAAGGCGGUGAGGUUAAUAACCUCAUCGAUUGACGUUACCCGCAGAAGAAGCACCGGCUAACUCCGUGCCAGCAGCCGCGGUAAUACGGAGGGUGCAAGCGUUAAUCGGAAUUACUGGGCGUAAAGCGCACGCAGGCGGUCUGUCAAGUCGGAUGUGAAAUCCCCGGGCUCAACCUGGGAACUGCAUUCGAAACUGGCAGGCUAGAGUCUUGUAGAGGGGGGUAGGAUUCCAGGUGUAGCGGUGAAAUGCGUAGAGAUCUGGAGGAAUACCGGUGGCGAAGGCGGCCCCCUGGACAAAGACUGACGCUCAGGUGCGAAAGCGUGGGGAGCAAACAGGAUUAGAUACCCGUGUAGUC